rnacentral:lncRNA from 1 species
UUGGAAAAGCCACAUAGAGGUCAAACUCUGUCUAGCUAUCCGUCUAUAAAGAAAUCCAGACAGCGUAAUGCAGCAUUUUAUGAACAACAAGUGGAUCUUCUGGGAAUGACAGAAUCCUCCCUACGAAUUAGAAGCAUGGAAGGAUUCGUUACACUUUAACAUGUUUCUUCAGUGACAUGUGCGACCUUGACUUUUAAUUAUUCAAGAGUGGCAAGUAUGGAACCUAAAGUGGAUUGUUGACACAAGAUGCCUGGAAAUAAGGAGAAUUAUGAAAGACAUACUGUUGUUUUAAAUUUCAAACCACAGUUACCUGUGUAACUAAAGAACCUGUAAGUCCCUCAAUAGGAAAAAGUGGAAACUGACCCAGAGGAUGCCAGACAGAAGGAUAUAUCCAAUUGCAGUUCUUACCAGCAUACAGGAGGAGGUUCCAUAUGAAUAUAACUUCUUGCCUAAGUUGGUUUAGGUAAGAAGACUCUUCAUGUGCCUGUUUCCUUCAAAUUUUAAGGAGAGCUCUUGCAUGGUGGUAGAACCGAGGACAGCCUAGACCUUCUGAUUGUCAACUCCUUGUUCCAUUGUGUCCAAACCUACAUGUCUGAACUCCUCUCAUCAAAGACUUCUCAAAGUUAUUAAUAACUGGGGAUCACGUAUUCAGUAAUUACACACAUCAGGCUCCAUGCUUUCUGUGCAGUAUGUAAAUUGAUUCAUUGUCAUACUAAUUAUAAAUGGCUAGUAUUAUUGCUGCUUUACAAAUGAGGCAUAUGACACACAGGGAGCUAAAUAAUUUGCCUAAGGUCACCCCACUUGUAAAUGAUGAAGCCAGGACUCAAGGCCAGGUCUGGCCACCCCUGAAUUUAAUAGCUUUAUCCUCUAUAUCUCUGUUUUCUCCCAGACCAAGGUGUCUGUACCUCUCUGCCAACAGAGAAAAGGGUUCAUUCAUUCAUCAAAUGUUUGUUGAGCAUCUAUUGUGACUCAGGCAAUAUCCUAGAUCAAGGAUUGUCAAACUUUUUCUAUAAAGGACAAGAGAGCAAACAUUUUAGGUCUCCUGGGUCAUACGGUCAGUCACUGUGAUUCAACUCUGCUGUUGUAGUACAAGAUUGUGAAAGCAGCCAUAGAUGAUAUGUCAAUGAAUGAGCAUGGUUGUGUUCCAAUAAAAUGUCACUUGCGAAAGCAGGCUGUGGGCUGGGUUUGGGCCAAGAGUUCUAUCCCUGCUCUAGGCACUGGAGUUACAAUAGCAAAAAAUUAAAAUAAA